UGUCACAUGACAGUGUGUACUUGAUGCACUUUUCGCUUCCGUUGUUGGGGGAACCUAUGCUAUUCCCGGGGCAUUUGGUUGUGGCAAAACUGUUAUCAGUCACGCUCUUUCCAAGUACUCUAACUCUGAAGCUGUAGUUUAUGUUGGCUGUGGGGAACGUGGAAACGAAAUGGCUGAGGUCCUUAUGGAUUUUCCACAAUUGAUAAUGACAUUACCUGAUGGUCGUGAAGAGUUAGUUAUGAAGUGUACAACUCUUGUGGCAAACACUUCUAAUAUGCCUGUGGCUGCUCGUGAGGCAUCAAUAUAUACAGGUAUUACAAUAGCUGAGUACUUCAGAAAUAUGGGGUACAACGUCCAUAUGAUGGCAGAUUCAACAUCUCGUUGGGCAGAAG